GGAGGAAAGUAGGGGAUCGCAAGACCUUGCGCUUUUGGAGUGGCCGAUGCCUGAUUAGCUAGUUGGUGGGGUAAGAGCCUACCAAGGCGACGAUCAGUAGUUGGUCUGAGAGGACGACCAGCCACACUGGGACUGAGACACGGCCCAGACUCCUACGGGAGGCAGCAGUGGGGAAUUUUGGACAACGGGCGAAAGCCUGAUCCAGCAAUGCCGCGUGAGUGAAGAAGGCCUUCGGGUUGUAAAGCUCUUUCAGUCGAGAAGAAAAGGUUGCGACUAAUAAUCGCAACUUAUGACGGUAUCGACAGAAGAAGCACCGGCUAACUACGUGCCAGCAGCCGCGGUAAUACGUAGGGCGCGAGCGUUAAUCGGAAUUACUGGGCGUAAAGGGUGCGCAGGCGGCUCUGUAAGUCAGAUGUGAAAUCCCCGGGCUUAACCUGGGAAUUGCGUUUGAAACUACAAAGCUAGA
rnacentral:rRNA from 1 species